ACAUGCAAGUCGAACGGUAACAGGGAGCUUGCUCCGCUGACGAGUGGCGAACGGGUGAGUAAUAUAUCGGAACGUACCCAAGAGUGGGGGAUAACGUAGCGAAAGUUACGCUAAUACCGCAUACGAUCUAAGGAUGAAAGCAGGGGACCUUCGGGCCUUGUGCUCCUGGAGCGGCCGAUAUCUGAUUAGCUAGUUGGUGAGGUAAAGGCUCACCAAGGCGACGAUCAGUAGCUGGUCUGAGAGGACGACCAGCCACACUGGAACUGAGACACGGUCCAGACUCCUACGGGAGGCAGCAGUGGGGAAUUUUGGACAAUGGGCGCAAGCCUGAUCCAGCAAUGCCGCGUGAGUGAAGAAGGCCUUCGGGUUGUAAAGCUCUUUUGUCAGGGAAGAAACGGCUGUGGCUAAUAUCCACGGCUAAUGACGGUACCUGAAGAAUAAGCACCGGCUAACUACGUGCCAGCAGCCGCGGUAAUACGUAGGGUGCAAGCGUUAAUCGGAAUUACUGGGCGUAAAGCGUGCGCAGGCGGUUUUGUAAGUCUGACGUGAAAUCCCCGGGCUCAACCUGGGAAUUGCGUUGGAGACUGCAAGGCUAGAAUCUGGCAGAGGGGGGUAGAAUUCCACGUGUAGCAGUGAAAUGCGUAGAGAUGUGGAGGAACACCGAUGGCGAAGGCAGCCCCCUGGGUCAAGAUUGACGCUCAUGCACGAAAGCGUGGGGAGCAAACAGGAUUAGAUACCCUGGUAGUCCACGCCCUAAACGAUGUCUACUAGUUGUCGGGUUUUAAUUAACUUGGUAACGCAGCUAACGCGUGAAGUAGACCGCCUGGGGAGUACGGUCGCAAGAUUAAAACUCAAAGGAAUUGACGGGGACCCGCACAAGCGGUGGAUGAUGUGGAUUAAUUCGAUGCAACGCGAAAAACCUUACCUACCCUUGACAUGUACGGAAG
rnacentral:rRNA from 1 species